rnacentral:rRNA from 1 species
GUAGGUGGCAAGCGUUGUCCGGAAUUAUUGGGCGUAAAGCGCGCGCAGGCGGUUCUUUAAGUCUGAUGUGAAAGCCCACGGGCUCAACCGUGGAGGGUCAUUGGAAACUGGAGAACUUGAGUACAGAAGAGGAAAGCGGAAUUCCCCGUGUAGCGGUGAAAUGCGUAGAGAUGUGGAGGAACACCAGUGGCGAAGGCGGCUUUCUGGUCUGUAACUGACGCUGAGGCGCGAAAGCGUGGGGAGCAAACAGGAUUAGAUACCCUGGUAGUCCACGCCGUAAACGAUGAGUGCUAAGUGUUAGGGGGUUUCCGCCCCUUAGUGCUGCAGCUAACGCAUUAAGCACUCCGCCUGGGGAGUACGGCCGCAAAGGCUG